rnacentral:rRNA from 1 species
AGGAUAAACGCUGGCGGCGUGCCUAACACAUGCAAGUCGAACGCGCUUGCUAUCCGCGAGGAGGGUGAGCGAGUGGCGGACGGGUGAGGAACACGUGGGUGGCCUACCUUUCAGUGAGGGAUACCGGCGAGAAAUUGCCGACAAGACCGCAUACGCUUCUCUUUUCAAGGGGAGAAGGAAAGCUUUUCGCAAGAGAGGCGCUGGGAGAUGGGCCUGCGGCCGAUUAGCUAGCUGGUGGGGUAAUGGCCUACCAGGGCGACGAUCGGUAGCUGGUCCGAGAGGACGAUCAGCCACACUGGGAUUGAGAACGGCCCAGACUCCUACGGGGGGCAGCAGUGAGGAAUUUUCGGCAAUGGGGGCAACCCUGACCGAGCAACGCCGCGUGCAGGACGACGGCCUUCGGGUUGUAAACUGCUUUUCUCUGGGACGAGCGAAGGACGGUACCAGAGGAAGAACGCCCGGCUAACUACGUGCCAGCAGCCGC